CCCUUAGAUGUUCUGGGCCGCACGCGCGCUACACUGACGAAUGCAACGAGCUUAUAAUAACCUUGGCCGAAAGGUCUGGGUAAUCUCCAAAUUUCGUCGUGAUGGGGAUAGAUUAUUGCAAUUAUUAAUCUUCAACGAGGAAUGCCUAGUAAGCGCAAGUCAUCAGCUUGCGUUGAUUACGUCCCUGCCCUUUGUAUACACCGCCCGUCGCUCCUACCGAUUGAAUGGUCCGGUGAAGCGUUCGGACCGUGGCCUUUGGACGGUUCGCCGUCUGUUGGCUGCGGGAAGUUCGUUAAACCUUNUNAUUUAGNGGAAGGAGAANUCGUANCA
rnacentral:rRNA from 1 species